UGAUUGAGAUAUAUCCAGCUGCAGACCCGCAGCACCAGCAGUUUCAGAACCGCAGUCACAGAACCGCAAGUGAGGGGCGGAGUUAUUGACAACGAGAGAGCACAUGUGACAUUCCAAUCAUACGGAGAUGGUGGACUCCAGAUGGUUUUCUCUGAAAGUGCAGAAACCCUACAAGAGGCCCUUCCAAUUGGAUAACAGGCUACGCUUGUGAGAUAU